UACAGAGGGUGCAAACGUUGUUCGGAAUUACUGGGCAUAAAGCGCACGUAGGUGGUCCACUAAGUCGAGUGUGAAAUCCCCCGGCUCAACCGGGGAAUGGCGCUCGAUACUGGUGGGCUAGAGGUCGGUAGGGGUGAGCGGAACUCCAGGUGGAGCGGUGAAAUGCGUAGAUAUCUGGAGGAACACCGGUGGCGAAAGCGGCUCACUGGACCAGUACCGACGUUCAGGCACGAAAGCGUGGGGAGCAAACAGG
rnacentral:rRNA from 1 species